AAUCAGCAGGGGAGCUUGUGCGGCAGGCUGAGAGGAGGCAGAAGCCUCGACCCUUUACCUGAUGCGGAUAAUGCCGCCGUAGGAAGUCAAGA
rnacentral:ncRNA from 1 species